CCACUAGCUUGCUAAGAUCCAUGAUGGAUGGAUCUCUACAACUUACAUGUCUUGUGAUUCAUAGUUUUAGAUAUAUACUAUCAAGACUAUCUUAAUAAUGGUUUCGGAAACCCAUAUUAUGUCCAAACAUUGAAUCACCAUUUAGUUGUAGCUAGCAAUCUUCAAAUUAAUUGAAACUAAGACUACAUCAAAGAUGGUUUCUUCAAAGUCAACCAUUCUCUUUGAUUGUAGUCACCUUAAGCUACCAAUUAGCUAUAAAGGUUUCAUUAUUUCGGGUCAAAUGGUACUUUACCAUUUCCUUGAGUAUAUGUCGUAUAUACACUCAAUGUAGUCAUAAGGAUUUUCAUUCUUAUUUCUUUCGAAUUAAGAGGUGUAACUCUAUGACAUAGUCAUAAAGUUCUAACCGUUCAACUGAGACAGUUUAUGAAUCCUUCUCGACUACCUUGGAGCUUGUGGUGUAGGAACUAGGUUGUUAUAUUUGUUGAUUAUCAUCUUGUCUCUCAAAGAACCCAUUCUUUGAGUUCUAUCUCUUGUUCAUUUGCACUAUCUUAGGCAAAUCCUAGUGUAGGAUUACAAUGAACUACCCAACAAACAACAUUUGUUAGUUGGUUUAUAGAAGUGAUAUCCAAAUGUUAAUUUAAGGAUACCCACAAGAUAAUUCUCAAACAAAUAUUGCUUAUUAGCACACAACCCCAAAUCUUAACAUGAUUAAGAUUUGUCUUUCUUUCCAACUACAUCUUAUGGAGUCAUGAAAAUUUUGGAAGAUCUUCUAAUUGACAAUCAUAUUGUCUUAGAAGCACAUAUCCUAUAUAUGGGUAAUUGAUAACAUCCAACGAACUAAAUCUUAUUCAAGUUCGUUCUUCUCCUAAUGGAGAAAUUCAUUAUCUUUUGAUGCUUCUUUCCUUGAUAUUUUUCAAGGAAACUGUUCUAAAGUGUUAUCUUCCCUUGGAUCAAAUCUAAGGAGGCAAAUACUUUAGACAUCUUACUCAUCAACUUACAUUUCUUGAAUUCUUUGAAACCUUUUGCAAAGUAUUCGGACUUGUGUUUAUUCAAAAUAAACUAUAGUCCAACCGAGAGUGAUCUUCGAUGAAUGUCAUACAACAUGAGUAGUAUUAUGUUGUGGACAAGUGCCACUAACAUCUAAGUGAAUUAACCUCAACAACUUUGUGAUUCUUUCUUCUUUCCAAAAGAAUAAAGAUUCGAACAUUUCGCCUCUAUACAAUUUUAAUAAGAAGGUAUUGGAUCCGGAUCUAACGAUCCAAUGCAUCCAUCUUUGACCAACUCGUAUUUUAUGUUUUUGAGGUAUCACAACUCAGUUGGGAUUAGUCACUACCUUGCAACCUUUUGGGUUUUAAGCAUCGUUAUCUUCUAAACAGUUAACACUACCAUAUCAUCUCUACUAUAGAGAUAAUGAAUUAGAUUACAAUAAUCUAAUCAUUCAUUAAUAAAGAACAAUGUUUUGUCAAACAAAACAUUCAUCCAU
rnacentral:lncRNA from 1 species